UAUUUUAUGCUUGAAUUUGGCUCAUUUUGAAAGAGAGUUAACCAAAUUGUAAGCAGAUGGAAACAGAGUUUGUAUUAAUCAGAUCUCUCCUGGUAACAAAUGCCAAAAACAGCUCAGGCUAACUGAAGUAUUUAUUGGGUCAUGUGGUUUGGAAGUCCACAUGGUUGAAAUAGAUUCCAGGGACUCUACUAAUUUACCGCGUGUCUGUAGCUUGGUUCUAGUUCUAUGCAUUGACCUCAUCCUCUUCUGUUAUAGGCUGGUCUACAUAUGGCAGGGAGAAGAGGGUAGAGGCAUGGCAGGCGACAUGAUUCACUACCAAAUCGUUGCUUUGGAGUCUACUACCUCCUUCGUUGUAGAGAUUUUCAAGCAUAAAGGAUAGCGUACCAUAAAGCAUGACACAAGGACUCUGCAGCCAAGUCUUCACACCCAUUGCCUUUAUCACGUUAUCCCUGAUGGCCAGGCUGGAAUACAACCCAUCGAGCCUCCUAGACAUAGACAUGGGUCAGAAUCACAUCGGGUCCCCAGACAGGAUUAUGCGCUUCCUCCAAGACCACUCUGCUGGAUGCCGCCUUCCAGGGCUGCGGCCUGUGGUGAGCACUUCUGUUUUUCCACACCAGACCGACAAAUUCUGGAGGGCAGACAUCUAUCUCUCUGCUUCUACAGCAACGAUAUAGCUCUAGCCACACCGAACUGGUGAUUGAAACAUUUCACCAGAAUCAUAUUGUUUUUUUCCACUCAUUUACAUGAUCAUAACUUUGGAGUAGAGUCUAAGGGCUAUAUGUUUUUCAUCCUGGAAAUGUUUGAUUCAACUGAUCCUCCUCUUGGACCUUUGAACUUAAAGAACAUGUUUGGGGCUUAAGUUUAGCUGUUAGCUUCCUUGCAGAAGCAGUUUUUUUGAUUACCAUCCAAAAAGUAAUUAGCAUAAACAUUGACCAAACAGAGGAAAAUUUCUUUCAAGUGAGAAAUGAGCCAAGUAUUGAAAUAAUCACCACAACAAGAAUUCCAUUUUUUUUACUCUUUUCCAGAUGUCAAUUUUAAAAUACAGCCUUGUAAAUACGCUGCAAUCUGACAUUAAAAUUAUGUUACAGAGGUGAAUGAAAGAGGGGGCUUAUCUCUAAUACCAUCUAACUGUAUAUUUUUUUAACUUAAAUGUUAAUUUUUUUAAUUUUAAAACUUACUCAUGUGAUUUUAGACUAGUUGGAAUAGAAGAUAUAAGAAAGACUCCAUGGUAGAGGUAGCUAUUGUUACUUUGUUUUAUUUCCUUCCAGUAAAGGAAGGGCUUCACCAAUGUGAUUUAACUCUGUAAAGUUGCGGGAGAGUAGGAACCCUCAAAGAAUGUUACAGCAAGUUUCCAUAGAGGUAGGUAUGCAGAAUAGCAUAAACAAGGAUUUGGGUACAUUUUACAACUGAAAUUCCUUACCUCUUUACCUCGGAGUCCAGUUCCCAACAAGUAAACUUGGCUUUCCUCUUGGUAACGGAUCUGGAUGUUGUAAACUUUAUCUUUGUACAACACCAUGAGGACAUACGGAUUGGUUAUUGUUUUUUUAGAGCUGUCUCUAACGAGAAAAGUGCCAUCCUAAAAGAAUAAAUUCUUAUUAUUACGUGAGCAAUAAAUGGCAAUACUUCUGUUGCCUGUAAGAGCAGUAGACAAGCCUCGAGAGAUCUGGAAACUUACCAGUUGCCAAGACAGUGAACAUUUAGUGCCCUGAACCGUUACAGCCCCAUGUGUCACAGAUUUCUUGGUUGUCAAGAGGCAGCAAAGAUUGUAUCAGAGAAAUUUCCAAAUUCCAAAGAGACUUUUUGAAGUCUCUUGAUAAAAAAGAAGUCGCUUUUUUUUUUUUCAGUUAUAAAACAAAUUAUAGGUGGUUGAGUGGACAAAGGGCCAGACAACAUAAGGACUUUAUUGGUUAACUAAAGAUUUAUCUUCCUACUCCUGGGAACUAAUUCCCUAACCCUUACUUUCCACAGCCAAAGUCAGAAAACACCCAAAUGCCUAUGACAUUCAUCCAUUUUAAAACCUCGUGAUCUCCACAUAAAAUGUUCACCAUUAAAUAUCUGGACAUAAACAAACGUGAACUGUCCUGUGUUCUUAUCACCUUUUUUUCCUAUUUACUGAAAUAGUGUGAUUUGUCCUGUACUUUAAAAUGUCAUUCCAUAAAUUAUUGUACAUAAUACUAAUACUGUAAAGAUCUAAUAUUAAAAUAGGAUUAAUUAGUAAGGCAGUGUUUAAGCCACUCCCUGCUUUGUAUACUGAAUCAUGAUGGCUUUAAAGAGCCUUCAAUCUGCAAUAAUGGCUUUCCUUUGUUCUUCUUAUUCCAGUUGAGUAAAUUCCAUUCAGAAUAUCUUCUGUUCAACAAAUACACCUGUGGACCAGUGAUUCACAGCCUAGAAUUUAGAAUUUAGAGUUUUGGAGACCCAGAACCCACACAAAAUGCCUGACUAAAUAAAUCGGAAUCUCUCCAGGUGAAAUCCAGGAAUCAGAAUGUUUAAAGUUUCUCAGGUGACUUAAAUGUGCAGCGAAGAUUGAGAACUAUUCUUACAGACUCAACAUGUGAGAGAUGAAGGAUCUUUGCUCUUCUUUCUCUGAUAAAUAGAUUUAAGGUUAAGAUUCGGGGCCAGAUCACAGGAAAUCUGGUUAAGAACAGCUAGAAAUUUCUAGGGGAAAGGGCAAAAACUUGCUGCUGCCUGUCUCCAUAAUGGAUCCCUUCACAUCAAUGUGGAUGGCAGUUGUAUAUUAAAAAUGAAGAUGCUAACGGUCAGCACCAUAAAGUCAUAUUUGCAGCAGACAAUAUACUACUUUGUAUUGCAUCCACACACUGCCCUUACUAUUGAGAUCUUCAAGGGAGCUGGAGUGGGUUUUUGGGUAAUACACAGACCAUUCUUCAUCUUUCUAACACUGGAGCAACCAAUGGAGAAGACUGAGGACCAGGUGUCCUACCGGUCUUAGGGGAAAAAGGAUCAAUUUUGAUUAAGGUCACUAUCAUUUGUCUUCAGAGGGACCCGGAACUUUACAUCCAACCUGAAAAGCCAGAAUGCCUCAAGCCAUAGCAGCCAACAGUCCCCUCCUCUCCAGGAACACCUGUGAUGUCCAGUUCCGUUAUAGGCUAAUACCAGGCAAAUUACUGGCAUCACCAGUCUGAACGACAAACUCAAGCAACGGAAGACAAGUACCUUGGCACAGGUGGCUUCUUCCCUGGCAGGGGGCUACUUCUGUCAUGCCUUUCGGUGGCUGGCGGUAAAGGAGGCUUUUGCAUCUUGGGUAGGUGCUCCCCGAGAGGCCUGCAGAGUUGAGAGAAAGGAGGUGUGGGUAAGAAACUGAACUGUUUCUACAGCACAUACCGUGUACCCUCACAUGGAUGCAACAAGGCACCUUACCUUCCCACUGGAGCCGAGGGCUGUAAAACAGGAGGAAAGACAUGUGAGUGUCCUCAGCACUUCUUAGAACAAAGACAAUAUACAAAAUAAAAC